rnacentral:rRNA from 1 species
UACGGGGGGAGCAAGCGUUGUUCGGAUUUAUUGGGCGUAAAGGGUGCGCAGGCCGCAUGGUAAGUUUGGUGUGAAAUCCUGGGGCUUAACCCCAGAAUUGCACUGAAUACUGCCGUGCUAGAGGACUGGAGAGGAGAUUGGAAUUCACGGUGUAGCAGUGAAAUGCGUAGAUAUCGUGAGGAAGACCAGUGGCGAAGGCGAAUCUCUGGACAGUUCCUGACGCUCAUGCACGAAGGCCAGGGGAGCAAACGGG